UAGAGAAUACCAAGGCGCUUGAGAGAACUCGGGUGAAGGAACUAGGCAAAAUGGUGCCGUAACUUCGGGAGAAGGCACGCUGGCAUGUAGGUGAAUUCCGUAUCGGAGGGAGCUGAAGCCAGUCGCAGAGACCAGCUGGCUGCAACUGUUUAAUAAAAACACAGCACUGUGCCAACACGAAAGUGGACGUAUACGGUGCGACGCCUGCCCGGUGCUGGAAGGUUAAUUGAUGGGGUUAGCCGCAAGGCGAAGCUCUUGAUCGAAGCCCCAGUAAACGGCGGCCGUAACUAUAACGGUCCUAAGGUAGCGAAAUUCCUUGUCGGGUAAGUUCCGACCUGCACGAAUGGCGUAAUGAUGGCCAGGCUGUCUCCACCUGGGACUCAGUGAAAUUGAAAUUGCUGUGAAGAUGCAGUAUACCCGCGGCAAGACGGAAAGACCCCGUGAACCUUUACUAUAGCUUGACACUGAACAUGGAGCCUUGAUGUGUAGGAUAGGUGGGAGGCAGUGAAUCGUGGACGCCAGUCUGCGAGGAGCCACCCUUGAAAUACCACCCUUUAAUGUUUGAUGUUCUAACUUUGCCCCGUGACCCGGGGUGAGGACAGUGUCUGGUGGGUAGUUUGACUGGGGCGGUCUCCUCCCAAAGAGUAACGGAGGAGCACGAAGGUUGGCUAAGUACGGUCGGACAUCGUACGGUUAGUGCAAUGGCAGAAGCCAGCUUAACUGCGAGACAGACACGUCGAGCAGAUACGAAAGUAGGUCAUAGUGAUCCGGUGGUUCUGAAUGGAAGGGCCAUCGCUCAA
rnacentral:rRNA from 1 species